UUUAUGGAUGCAAUGGAACAUAUUACUCGACUAGUCAGGAUGAUUCAACAAGAAAGAGGCAAUGCCUUAUUGGUUGGAGUGGGAGGAACAGGAAAACAGUCAUUAACAAGAUUGUCUGCCCACAUGUGUAACUAUCGCUGCUUCCAGAUUGAGCUCUUUCGAGGCUAUGACUAUUCUUCAUUCCACGAUGACCUGAAAAAAUUGUAUGAUACAGCAGGCAUUCAAA
rnacentral:sRNA from 1 species